UCAGGUCAUCUGCUGAUCAGCAUGUGACUGAAUCAAGGACUGGAACAGAACAUAUUAUCAGCAAUGCUGUAUUCACAGUCUAUUUGAAGAUAAGCAGAUGGGUACCAUGCUGGGAUUGUACCAAUGGUCCAUCUGCACCAGUCUGCAACUUCCUCACUAGCCAAAGUCAGACACAACCAGGAAAAAUACUGGAACUACACCAUAAUCAAGUGGAAAUGACCUCCUGGAGGACUUACUCUGGUUUCUAGGAGUCAAGCAGUGACUCUUGUUUCAGUCAGGAAAAAGAUGAUUGACUUUUACUUACUGUUGGAUCAGAAGUGAUAUAUUAAUAUGAAGGUACUCAGAAAAGAGUGUUUAUAGUGUCAACAUUUCUAAGAAGCCAAAACUUUCAAGGCUAUGUGAGUGCAAUGGCAUAUUUCUCUCUUAUUCAUUUGUUCUUCCUCGUGAAAAAACAACUUUGUAUAGCAGCAAUCAAAAACAAGGUGAAUUUUACAUUCACCAAAAUCAGACAGAUUUGGGAAGAAUGAAUUAGGGAACUGUGUUAGCUUUAACUCAAAAGAUUUUGUUUCUGAUGUCUUUAUCAUUUUAUUCUUGCAAAGGAAUUAAGAAGAUUAGCAGGUAAGAAAAGUAUCUGUGGAAAUGCUAGUCAGUAUAACUGCUUGAUGAACAUGAUACUUAUGGAAUAGAUAAGGAGCUUUCUGAUCUGCCGCUUACAAGAUUUACAAUUUGCAAACACUGUGGGGAGUACCAUUGAUUUAACUGGAUCUUCAAUGUUGAUGCAACAAACCAGUGCUAAAAACACUAAAAGUUCUGCUUGCGGAUAGCCCAGCCAUUUGACUCUGCUUGCUUUGCACCCACAGUUAAUUUUUAACACUGUGGGGACAAGCCAGUGACCCUGUGUUCUCGCUCAGGAAUGUCUGAGCAUUCACCAGCAAUCAGUUUGUACUUAAUGCCCACUAUACUGGAAUAUUUUGGUGUUUAAAGAUGCACCCAGUUCAAACUUUUUGGUAUUGCUGUCGACUUUUCAUUAGACAUCGAGCUCUGUGGAAUAUUGUUGCUUUGGAACCAAGGAUGCAUUGAGCUGUUAGAAAACUUUGUAAAAGCUAAAGAUCACUCAAGGAGGAAUUAAAUAGAUUUUUAUUAUAAUUUCUUAUUAAGUUUAAGAAACUGCUUUAAUGAAAUCAAGACGGAACACUUUGGAUGCUGUAAAAUUAUGAAUUUAGUUUGAAAUAACAACAGAAAUAUUUAAGAAUAAGUAAAUCAGGACAUUGUAGAAAUAUGAUUAAGACCUAUGCAAUUAGUAAUAAAACUGAAAAGAAAGACAUACUUAUUCCAAGUUUAAUUUAUUUGUGGCUAUCAAGUUUUAAUUAAAACAAAUCCUAUUUGCUGCAUAUUUACCAAUUUAUCAUACAAGAACCGCAAAGUGGAAUUAUAUUGGGUGAUUUAUUUUGUGGUUGUUUCUCUCUGCUUCUGUGUUCAUGUCUAAAUCAUGAAGAGAAAAUGAGAGCACUAGCAAAUUCCAAAUACUUUAUUUAAAACAAAAUGUGUAAUUGUUCAGAAAUAGGCUAUUGACUUUCACUGGGUUAAACAGCUCAUGUACUGAUUAGGCUUGAAGCUAUAAUUGUUCUUGUCACCCAAACUUUGCUCAGUCAAUAUCUUUUUAUCAUAUACAUUUUUAAUCACAUAUUAAUAAACAAGAAGGUGUGCUUUAUUGAUGGCUGGAUUAGUUUAUUGACCAACUCAACAACUCUCUAUAUGGUUUCUGAACACAGAAACAAGGUCAGUGUGUAAAGAUGAGGAAUAGUACAUUCACCAUCUUUAAUAUACUCCAAUCUGGUAGCGUACUCCCUUUCUUACAAGUGCUGCAAUCCAUAUAAUUUCUACAAUUAUUUUAUAAAAUAUUUCAUAUUUGAAACAAUCUCACUGUUCAAGCACAUCUUUGCUUGAGUUUCAGGAACUUUAGACUUCUAUGAGCUUCUCUAAUUUAACAUUGUUUGGUCACCUUGACACCAAGCUGUGUUAGUUUUUAAACCUUCCAGAAUUCAAAUUUUCAGAUACUUGUAGAUUCUCACCAAGUAUUCUUUAAGUACUUCCAUUGUUGGAAAA